rnacentral:rRNA from 1 species
CAGUAGCCACGGUAAUACGAAGGGUGCAAGCGUUACUCGGAAUUACUGGGCGUAAAGCGUGCGUAGGUGGUGGUUUAAGUCCGUUGUGAAAGCCCUGGGCUCAACCUGGGAAUUGCAGUGGAUACUGGGUCACUAGAGUGUGGUAGAGGAUAGUGGAAUUUCCGGUGUAGCAGUAAAAUGCGUAGAGAUCGGAAGGAACAUCUGUGGCGAAGGCGACUAUCUGGGCCAACACUGACACUGAGGCACGAAAGCGUGGGGAGCAAACAGGAUUAGAUACCCCGGUAGUCCCUGUCUCUUAUAC